rnacentral:rRNA from 1 species
AGGCGGCUUUUUAAGUCGGAUGUGAAAUCCCUGAGCUUAACUUAGGAAUUGCAUUCGAUACUGGAAAGCUAGAGUAUGGGAGAGGAUGGUAGAAUUCCAGGUGUAGCGGUGAAAUGCGUAGAGAUCUGGAGGAAUACCGAUGGCGAAGGCAGCCAUCUGGCCUAAUACUGACGCUGAGGUACGAAAGCAUGGGGAGCAAACAGGAUUAGAUACCCUGGUAGUCCAUGCCGUAAACGAUGUCUACUAGCCGUUGGGGCCUUUGAGGCUUUAGUGGCGCAGCUAACGCGAUAAGUAGACCGCCUGGGGAGUACGGUCGCAAGACUAAAACUCAAAUGAAUUGACGGGGGCCCGCACAGGCGGUGGAGCAUGUGGUUUAAUUCGAUGCAACGCGAAGAACCUUACCUGGCCUUGACAUACUAAGAACUUUCCAGAGAUGGAUUGGUGCCUUCGGGAACUUAGAUACAGGUGCUGCAUGGCUGUCGUCAGCUCGUGUCGUGAGAUGUUGGGUUAAGUCCCGCAACGAGCGCAACCCUUUUCCUUAUUUGCCAGCGGGUUAAGCCGGGAACUUUAAGGAUACUGCCAGUGACAAACUGGAGGAGGGCGGGGACGACGUCAAGUCAUCAUGGCCCUUACGGCCAGGGCUACACACGUGCUACAAUGGUCGGUACAAAGGGUUGUUACCUCGCGAGAGGAUGCUAAUCUCAAAAAGCCGAUCGUAGUCCGGAUCGCAGUCUGCAACUCGACUGCGUGAAGUCGGAAUCGCUAGUAAUCGCGGAUCAGAAUGCCGCGGUGAAUACGUUCCCGGGCCUUGUACACACCGCC